GAUGAAGAACGUAGCAAAAUGCUAUAAGUAAUGUGAAUUGCAGAAUUCAGUGAAUCAUCGAAUCUUUGAACGCACAUUGCGCCCGCUGGUAUUCCGGCGGGCAUGCCUGUUCGAGCGUCAUUUCAACCCUCAAGCCCCCGGGUUUGGUGUUGGGGAUCGGCUCUGCCCUUCUGGGCGGUGCCGCCCCCGAAAUACAUUGGCGGUCUCGCUGCAGCCUCCAUUGCGUAGUAGCUAACACCUCGCAACUGGAACGCGGCGCGGCCAUGCCGUAAAACCCCAACUUCUGAAUGUUGACCUCGGAUCAGGUAGGAAUACCCGCUGAACUUAAGCAUAUCAAUAGCGGAGGA
rnacentral:misc_RNA from 1 species